GAUGAACGCUAGCGGCAGGCUUAAUACAUGCAAGUCGAGGGACAGCACAGGUAGCAAUACUGGGUGGUAACCGGCAAACGGGUGCGGAACACGUACACAACCUUCCUUUAAGUGGGGGAUAGCCCAGAGAAAUUUGGAUUAAUACCCCGUAAUACAGUUGAAUGGCAUCAUUUGAUUAUUAUAGCUACGGCGCUUAAUGAUGGGUGUGCGGCUGAUUAGAUAGUUGGCGGGGUAACGGCCCACCAAGUCUACGAUCAGUAGUUGAUGUGAGAGCAUGAUCAGCCACACGGGCACUGGGACACGGGCCCGACUCCUACGGGAGGCAGCAGUAAGGAAUAUUGGUCAAUGGACGCAAGUCUGAACCAGCCAUGCCGCGUGAAGGAUUAAGGUCCUCUGGAUUGUAAACUUCUUUUAUUUGGGACGAAAAAGGGUCUUUCUAGACCAACUGACGGUACCAGAUGAAUAAGCACCGGCUAACUCCGUGCCAGCAGCCGCGGUAAAAC
rnacentral:rRNA from 1 species